rnacentral:rRNA from 1 species
GGCCAUGCCGGCUGCUACCAUGCAGUCGAACGAGAACGGGUUUAGUUUACUAAACUGUCAGCUAAGUGGCGCACGGGUGAGUAAUGUAUAGUUAACCUGCCCUCUAGAAAGGAAUAACAGUUGGAAACGACUGCUAAUGCCCUAUAUGCCCAUAAUACAAAAGUAUGCUGGGGAAACGCUUUAGUGCUAGAGGAUGGGACUGUAUGGUAUCAGAUAGUUGGUGAGGUAAUGGCUCACCAAGUCAAUGACGCCUAACUGGUUUGAGAGGAUGAUCAGUCACACUGGAACUGAGACACGGUCCAGACUCCUACGGGAGGCAGCAGUGGGGAAUAUUGCACAAUGGAGGAAACUCUGAUGCAGCAACGCCGCGUGGAGGAUGACACUUUUCGGAGCGUAAACUCCUUUUAUAUAGGAAGAUAAUGACGGUACUAUAUGAAUAAGCACCGGCUAACUCCGUGCCAGCAGCCGCGGUAAUACGGAGGGUGCAAGCGUUACUCGGAAUCACUGGGCGUAAAGAGCGUGUAGGCGGGUUAUUAAGUCAGAAGUGAAAUCCUAUGGCUCAACCAUAGAACUGCUUUUGAAACUGGUAACCUAGAGUAUGGGAGAGGUAGAUGGAAUUUCUGGUGUAGGGGUAAAAUCCGUAGAGAUCAGAAGGAAUACCGAUUGCGAAGGCGAUCUACUGGAACAUUACUGACGCUGAGACGCGAAAGCGUGGGGAGCAAACAGGAUUAGAUACCCUGGUAGUCCACGCCCUAAACGAUGUACACUAGUUGUUGCCAUGCUAGACAUGGCAGUAAUGCAGUUAACACAUUAAGUGUACCGCCUGGGGAGUACGGUCGCAAGAUUAAAACUCAAAGGAAUAGACGGGGACCCGCACAAGCGGUGGAGCAUGUGGUUUAAUUCGACGAUACGCGAAGAACCUUACCUGGACUUGACAUUUACAGAACUUU